rnacentral:rRNA from 1 species
UACUGAUGGUGCAAGCGUGAAUCGGAAUUACUGGGCGUAAAGCGCACGCAGGCGGUCUGUCAAGUCGGAUGUGAAAUCCCCGGGCUCAACCUGGGAACUGCAUUCGAAACUGGCAGGCUAGAGUCUUGUAGAGGGGGGUAGAAUUCCAGGUGUAGCGGUGAAAUGCGUAGAGAUCUGGAGGAAUACCGGUGGCGAAGGCGGCCCCCUGGACAAAGACUGACGCUCAGGUGCGCAAGCGGGGGGCGCACACAGGCGGCGAUCACCCCGUAGUCC